rnacentral:rRNA from 1 species
GCCCGCGCCCGAUUAGCUAGUUGGUGAGGUAACGGCUCACCAAGGCAAUGAUCGGUAGCUGGUCUGAGAGGAUGGCCAGCCACACUGGAACUGAGACACGGUCCAGACUCCUACGGGAGGCAGCAGUGGGGAAUCUUGCGCAAUGGGCGAAAGCCUGACGCAGCGACGCCGCGUGGGGGAUGAAGCUUCUCGGAGUGUAAACCCCUUUCGACCGGGACGAAU